UACAGAGGUGGCAAGCGUUGUUCGGAAUUACUGGGCGUAAAGGGCGCGUAGGCGGUCUUCUAAGUCUUGUGUGAAAUCCCUCGGCUCAACUGAGGAACUGCACGGGAUACUGGAAGACUUGAGUUCGGGAGAGGGAAGCGGAAUUCCGGGUGUAGCGGUGAAAUGCGUAGAUAUCCGGAGGAACACCGGUGGCGAAGGCGGCUUCCUGGACCGAUCACUGACGCUGAUGAGCGAAAGCCAGGGGAGCAAACGGG
rnacentral:rRNA from 1 species